CACGUAGGGUGCGAGCGUUGUCCGGAAUUAUUGGGCGUAAAGAGCUCGUAGGCGGUGUGUCGCGUCGGCCGUGAAAACCUGCAGCUUAACUGUGGGCUUGCGGUCGAUACGGGCAUCACUUGAGUUCGGCAGGGGAGACUGGAAUUCCUGGUGUAGCGGUGAAAUGCGCAGAUAUCAGGAGGAACACCGGUGGCGAAGGCGGGUCUCUGGGCCGAUACUGACGCUGAGGAGCGAAAGCAUGGGGAGCGAACAGG
rnacentral:rRNA from 1 species